rnacentral:lncRNA from 1 species
GGCCAGGCAGAAGCAGCAUGGGUUUCCACUCACACGAUUUAUCUACUGCUUGUGAAAUCUCUGGAUUUAACUCUGAUGAAAGACCGGAGGCUGAAGGAGAACUUCACUAUCAUAUAUUUUAAAGGUUGACUCACAGUUUGGAGCACGAAUUAAAGAACCACGAACUUCAAGUCUGGAUGAAGUGCUUCAUGCCUGUAAUCCAAGCACUUUGAGAGGCUGAGGUGGGUGGAUGGCUUGAGCCCAGGAGUUUGAGACCAGCCUGGAAAACAUAGGGAAACCCUGUCUCAAUAUAAGAAGAAGAAGAAAAAGAAAAAAAAAAAUCAAAAACGAAAACAACACAAAUUUUAGAGUGAUGUAAAAUUCUCAAACAAUGAGAUAGAUAAAAAGUACGCAGCCAAAAAGUGCAGGAAGAAGUGUUAUGGAGAUGGAGCAGGCCCUUCGUAAAAACACGAUGUUGGUUUUCUGGAUUUUGGAGGCCUCACAAAACCUGGAUCAGACUCGCCCGCUGCCCUGUGUCUGCCCUCCCGACCCCCUCUCCUGCCCAGCAGGGAUGUGGGUGGCAGUGGUGCUGUGUGGAGGGUGGCGGGAGGACC